rnacentral:lncRNA from 1 species
UCAACUAUUCAUUAGCCACAUUAAUAUAGCUAUUCUUAAUAAUGGAAAUGCAAGAUGUGCAGUAAAAACAGGUAGUGCAGUAAAAGCUACUUGCAAGUACUACAAGUCCAAACACCAAGCCAAGGCAUAAACGGUAGCGGCCAAGGCGAAACGCAUAUGGAAACGAAAGCUACAUUUCAAAACGCAAGGAGAUUGUGAGAAAAAUGCACCAGCACCACGUGCAAAAAAAUGGAAAAAAGAAAAAUUC